UUCGUAGGUGGCAAGCGUUGUCCGGAUUUACUGGGCGUAAAGGGCGUGCAGGCGGUUUGUUAAGUGCAGGGUGAAAGCUCCCGGCUCAACUGGGAGAGGUCCUUGCAUACUGGCGAACUCGAGGGAGGCAGAGGAAAGUGGAAUUCCCGGUGUAGUGGUGAUAUGCGUAGAUAUCGGGAGGAACACCUGUGGCGAAGGCGGCUUUCUGGGCCUUACCUGACGCUGAGACGCGAAAGCGUGGGGAGCGAACCGG
rnacentral:rRNA from 1 species